AUUGAACGCUGGCGGCAGGCCUAACACAUGCAAGUCGAGCGGCAGCACGGUGCUUGCUCGUGCUUUCAGCGGCGGACGGGCGGGUAGUGCCUAGGAACAUCCCUGUUUGCGUGGUCUAACGUGCGGACAUGGGCGCAAUUACCGCAUACGCGCAGAGGGCCUACGUGUGGGAUCUUCGGACCUUCCGCCAUCGGAUGAGCCUAGGUCGGAUUAGCUAGUUGGUGGGGUAAAGGCCUACCAAGGCGACGAUCCGUAACUGGUCUGAGAGGAUGAUCAGUCACACUGGAACUGAGACACGGUCCAGACUCCUACGGGAGGCAGCAGUGGGGAAUAUUGGACAAUGGGCGAAAGCCUGAUCCAGCCAUGCCGCGUGUGUGAAGAAGGUCUUCGGAUUGUAAAGCCCUUUUAUUGGGAAAGAAGAGCAGUAAGUUAAUACCUUGCUGUUUUGACGGUACCAACAGAAUAAGCACCGGCUAACUUCGUG
rnacentral:rRNA from 1 species